rnacentral:rRNA from 1 species
GAUGAACGCUGGCGGCGUGCCUAAUACAUGCAAGUCGAGCGAACGGACGAGAAGCUUGCUUCUCUGAUGUUAGCGGCGGACGGGUGAGUAACACGUGGAUAACCUACCUAUAAGACUGGGAUAACUUCGGGAAACCGUAGCUAAUACCGGAUAAUAUUUUGAACCGCAUGGUUCAAAAGUGAAAGACGGUCUUGCUGUCACUUAUAGAUGGAUCCGCGCUGCAUUAGCUAGUUGGCAAGGUAACGGCUUACCAAGGCAACGAUGCAUAGCCGACCUGAGAGGGUGAUCGGCCACACUGGAACUGAGACACGGUCCAGACUCCUACGGGAGGCAGCAGUAGGGAAUCUUCCGCAAUGGGCGAAAGCCUGACGGAGCAACGCCGCGUGAGUGAUGAAGGUCUUCGGAUCGUAAAACUCUGUUAUUAGGGAAGAACAUAUGUGUAAGUAACUGUGCACAUCUUGACGGUACCUAAUCAGAAAGCCACGGCUAACUACGUG